GGGCAGGGGAGGAGCGGGAAGGGGGAGCCGGCAGGCGCUCGGGUUGCGGAGAGCCCCCGGUUGUGGGCGCUGCCUUGAACUCCUUACCCCAGCUGCCGGGCUGCCCCCGGCUUCCCAAAGCUCAAAUAAGAGGGGCUGGCGGCGGGGGAGGAGGAGGAGCCAGGAGCCUCGUCUGCUCCAUUCACACCACAGCCCUGGCCGGUCCAGGCGGCGCGCGCGGUUCCUUGGGGGCGCCCUGGCAGCGGGGGUGGGGGGCGGGCCUGAAGGAGCGUUCCUCUCGCAGACUCCCUCCUCUCCUACCCGCCGCGCGCUCUUCGCUGGCCUGUGGGCCACAGCCCUCCUCCUCCUCCCCUUCGCCUUCGCGGGUGUGGGCGCCUCGAGGCACUGGCGAGCCUCUCCAGGUGAGCGGUGAAUGUGUCCUCCGCGAACGUGGGUGAUGGGGGCAGGGAUGGGGUUGUCAAUCUGAGAGGGCGGAUCAGGGGGAGGGACGGGUGCGGGGGGCGGGGGGGGGGGACGGGGGGGUCGCCCGCCGAGGGCGGGAUCUUGAGGCGAGUGCAGCGAACUGUCCCGGAUUCCCUCGUUCAGCGCCCGCGAGUCUGUCGGGCUGGAGUGGUAGCCAUAAUUCCGGGGUCACUGGGGAGGGGGUGACCCCUUUUGGGUUCCGGAGGUCAGACUCCAGGCCAUCGUGGGUCACCUGGAGGGGCUGCAUUCAGUUGUGAUAACCAGGGCGUAUUCGGCCGUCUGGUAGUUGGUCACUUGGUAGGUCUGCGCCCAGAGGAGGGCGGUGGCCCCGUACUAAAAUCGAUGUCAGCGGCACCAUCGCCCCUUCUAUAGUCGGCAUCUAUGGAGGAGACCCCAGGCAAGGAGAAACGCCGAGAACCGGAUUGGAGUGCGUUUCAGGGGCGCGCGGAAACGCCCCGGGGAGAGCCGUGAGGCAGCGGCGACGGCGCAGCCUGGGACGGCCAGGAGCGCGGGGCGGGGAGCGGCCGGUGGCCGUGGGCGUCUCACCAAAGCGGCCCUGGAGGGGCCCCCGGCUCCCAGCCAAGCCCACGUGAAGCAGCAUCAGGGCAGUUGCAGUUGUAGAGGAACCGCGCGUCGUGAAAGCCUUGACUUACUCUCCAUUUCUGACGUUUUGGUUUUAAUUUGCACGGAGUAAACGAAGUAGCCGUCGGUUCCGGCCGCGGACCCGAAGCGCGCGCAGGCUCGGGACCCGCACUCGGGACUCCUGGCGGCACGGGUCCUGGAGGCACGGGAGACCGUAAGGGCAAAGGUCGGGAACGUGUGCUCCCCGCGUGUCCCCAGGCUACCUUCGCAGGUGUGGACAUCUCUCUGCGCUACUUUGGUGCCUUAACUCUGCUUGGUCUCCACUCGGAAGCUUUUUAUUUUUGUUUUAGAAACGAAAAGACCUUAGAGGCCAGCGCCCGUCCUCUCCCGUAGGCUGCAUCUCCAGCCCCCGCGCCCCAGGGUUGCACGGGGGGCGUGCGCGGUGGGUCUUUUUGGCGGAGAACCGCCCCGCGAGGCUCAGCUUCUCCGGCCGAGUCGCCCCUGGAACGCCCAGACCCGUGUCCGGCCCCCGAUUUUACUUCUACUUCGGAGUCGUUUUCUUACCCAGGACUCACUCAAGAGCCCGCGCGGGAAGGACCGCCCUUUAUGAAAAGCCAGGGACUUCCAUUUCCAAACGAAAGGUGGAGAUUGUUUCUCUUUUAUCCUCCUUGGCAAGAUUUUGGGCUGGUAUUUGGAGGAGGUGACUUGAAUGGGAGCUUUUGUGUUUUUGAAUCCCAGAUAGGGCAAAGGCGCCUAACUCUCGGUCUUUACGUUAAAAAGAAUUUUUGCCCGGGGGUUGGGGGGGGGGGGGAGCUGAGUAGGGAGAGGGGAAGGGGAGCCGAGCAAAUUUAGGACUCGUCUCCCCUCCGCCACGUGUUGCCUGACAAUACUCGAGGAAGGGAAGAGCCGCGGUGCGACCUCGUUUUGGCCCCGGCACCCCCUCUCCCGCCCGGACUCGCAGUCACUCCGCUGCGGUGGGAGGAGCUCCCUGCCGCCGGCGGACCGCGCAGUGAACGCGGCGCCCCGAGCCGCCCGCAGCCGCAGCCGGAGGCCUCACGCCCACCCAUCCCUUGCCAGGGGUCCAGGCGGACCUGGGCCAGCGCGGGUGGGGCGCAGACUCCUGCGGUUGCAGGGCCCCCCCGCUCCCGCCUCUCCUUCCCCGAGUAACCCGCUCUUCGGUGACCCAGGCAGGUACCCCUGCCAAACCGGCUUCGGUGCCCGAGCUGGGCACGGGCUGCACCCUCCUCCCGCCCCCGCAGGUCGGCGCGCUCCUGCACCCGCUGUGGUCGAGGCCCACCCGGGGUCCCGGGAACGAAGGCUGCGGAGACCCGGCCGGCCCCUUCUUUCACCCGCUUUACCACCCCAUCAGCCCUGAGACGUGCGGCGCAGAGGGUCGGUCUGCAUCACUGAUUGGCAGAGCUGGACUUUCAACUCCUCAUUCUACAGAGACGGAAACUGAGGCACAGACGGGAGAAAAAGUAGCUGUGGAGCGCAGGGGUUAAGAGCAAGGACUGGUGGCCAGAGAAUGGAAUCAGUUCCACCGGGUGACCAGCAGCUGUGUGACCCUAGACGAGUUCCGUAGCCUCUCCGAACCUCAGUUUCCCUUUUGGUCAAACGGAAUAAUGGGAAAUGAGCUCAUGAGGUCUCGGGGAUUGGGCAGGAGGCUAGUGUUGGCCUAUGCGCUCAACAGACGUUACCACUUUUGUUUCUAUUGUUGUUCAAACACAGGUAGCAAGUUAGUGGCAAAGCCGAGCCGAAACCCAGGUCCCUCGACAUCCAGCUCGGGCUUUACCACCACCCCAAGGCCCUCUAGAGCUAAAGGAAUGAGGGGGAAAGGAAGAAGGAGGGCGAGCGGGACUCUGGGAGCCCGGGUGGCUUUGGAACGUCGGUAAAGCUCAUCCUGGCCUGACGGUGCUUAAUUAUUACAGGAUCAAAAUAUCGCGCCUGAGUGGGAGCGGGCAGUGGGGACCUCUGAACCCCCGCUUGACCCCGGCGCUGUCAACUGCCCCUGCCCGAGCGCGGCGCGGGCGCUGCAGCCGCGGGCCCAGGGCCCAGCGCGCUCAGGCUGCGCUCCGGGCGUCGCCCCGCGGCCGCCCCAACUGAGUGAAGCGCGGAGCGGUCAGGGCCGGGGCCGGGGCCGCGGACGGCCGGAGGACGGCCAGAGGGGGGCUCGGCGGCGCAGACCGGCAGCAGGCCCAGCGCCGGAGUCUGCCCGCCCUGGUCGCGGGGCAGGCGCUUGGGCACGGGAGAUCGCAGCUUCAUUUCUUUAAACUGAAAAAAAGGAAGGGAGGGACUUUUGUUAUAGUCCAUCCUCCACCCCGGCCCCCUCUGUUCAUUUGAAAAUUAGGUCGAUGUUUUGACCAAUCCCCCAUCUCCGGUUCAAACCCAAUUCUCCGAGCCGCUUUGGGGGCGCAGGGGGCGCGCACACUGCCGGGUGCGCCGUGAAAAUUCUUCGGUUCCCCGCUCGGUGCCUCGAACCGCCGGGGCCACCGUCUGUCCUGACGCCCCGCGAGAUGGUCCCCGAGCUCCCAGAGAGUCCCCGGUGAGAGGACGCCGCAGCGCCGCCUCUAUUACGAUACCGUAAAUCUUUUUAAAUUCUGGAACUAAUUAUAUAGAGGAUAUGUCUCAAUUUGUUCUGCAUUAAUGCCACAGUGGGGAUGGAGGCCGGGCCGUGGCCGGAGCAGAUACUCGGCCCAUGAAAUUGAUGAACUGAGAGCUGCUUCCAGUCCCGGGCGCACCAUCUGGAAUUCCAGUCUGAGGUUACAAUUAGAACUCCUGACCCCAGAUUCAACUCUGCAGACAACAGGGGAAAAAGGAGAAAAGCAGAAAAGCAAGAGAAAGAACACUCAACUUAUUCUGCACCUGUAAAAAAAAAUCCCCACACAAUCUUAAAAUCUAUCUUAGAGAAUUCUUUCCAAGUAUUUCUUCUGUGUUUUUUUAACCUGUAAAAGAUAAUGGAAUAUAUUUUAUAGACUGGAUCUUAUCUUAUCUCUUUUUCCUCUCCUGACUGCACUCAGUUUAAUAGUUGUCAGUUUUUCCUCAGUGUUGGAUUUAAUUAUGUAGGACCAAAAGAUUCCUCAGUAAAUUAGAUUGCUGAAUAUUCUGUUGUUUGUGUGAUUUCGCCUUUGAGAAACAGCUUAAUUACAGAAAUUUAUCUGGAUCUAGGAACUUAUCUUCUUUUGACUGUUCUCCAGCUUAACUGUAAUCAGAGAUUUUAUUUGUGUUGUAACUUUAUUUGUGUUCUAAAUCGGUUGGACCAAUUUC
ensembl:lncRNA